GGCAGCGAGAGCGCGCCGAGCGCCAGGAGGAGGAGCAGCGCCACCGACGCCAGCAGCAGCGCCGCCAGGAUCACCGUCGUCGUUUUUAACGAGAGGUGGGAGCAGUUGUACUGUAACCGCUGCGUCCUAGUAUGGGGGUGAUGACGUGUCCUGCGGGGAGAAUGUGGGGCCCACCACGGCGGGAGUCCAGCUGGGCCGGCGUUGGAGAAGGCCCAAAAAUCUAACACAUGUGAGUGCUGACUGGUGAGCCUCAAGCUGGGGAUUGCUUUGAGCUGCAAUCCUGCAACUGGCCAACAAGACUAACAUCUACAGGUGAACCAUCCAUGUACUGGUAGUAGUGCCUUCCAUUCUAACUGCACCAGUUUCAUUUUUCAGGUAUUUAUUUCAAGCCAUGGUGUUCAGAGUAACGGCAGCAGGGACAUUGAAGCUUGAUAUCUUUGACACUAACGGAGUUAACACAGGCACAGAAUUGUAUCUACUAGGAAAACAAUAGGCCUCCACAUGAGCUUAUACUAGUGUGAUGAAUAAGAAAAGUAUUUACAUCGCUCGGUUAGAUAUUUACCCAUUUCUUACAUAUCACCUAAAUAAUGAUCAGCUUUUUUUUUGAGAAAAAGAUAACAAGAUAGAUUAAUAGAGAUGCAAGUUCAAAUUCAA